AAUGAACGCUGGCGGCGUGCCUAACACAUGCAAGUCGCACGAGAAAGUCCCAGCUUGCUGGGGCUAGUAAAGUGGCGCACGGGUGAGUAACGCGUGGGUAAUCUACCUCCGAAUUGGGGAUAACAUUGCGAAAGCGGUGCUAAUACCGAAUGACAUCACCGAGACUACGGCCUUGGUGAUCAAAGGUGGCCUCUACAUGUAAGCUAUUGUUUGGAGAUGAGCCCGCGUACCAUUAGCUAGUUGGUAGGGUAAUGGCCUACCAAGGCUACGAUGGUUAGCUGGUCUGAGAGGAUGAUCAGCCACACUGGAACUGACACACGGUCCAGACUCCUACGGGAGGCUG
rnacentral:rRNA from 1 species